rnacentral:misc_RNA from 1 species
AAGUCGUAACAAGGUUUCCGUAGGUGAACCUGCGGAAGGAUCAUUAAAAGUGCCCCGGCUUUAGCUGGCGGACUACUCCUCUGUGCCCACGUCACUUGUGGCGUUGGGUUUAUUGAGUUAACCAAUUGUGAAACUUCUACCUUUGCUUCGGCAGCACUCUCAGCGAAAGCUGGAGGGGUAAGGCUGCCAGAGGCCCAUAUCAUAACCAGUUGAUGAAAUGUCAUGCUGUCUGAUAACCACUAUUUGAGAAAUCAAAUUAUAUUAAAACUUUCAGCAACGGAUCUCUUGGUUCUC